GACGUAGGGUCCAAGCGUUGUCCGGAUUUACUGGGCGUAAAGGGCGCGUAGGCGGCCACCGCAAGUCGACUGUGAAAUCUCCGGGCUUAACCCGGAAAGGUCAGCCGAUACUGCGGGGCUAGAGUGCAGAAGGGGCAACUGGAAUUCUCGGUGUAGCGGUGAAAUGCGUAGAUAUCGAGAGGAACACCUGCGGCGAAGGCGGGUUGCUGGGCUGACACUGACGCUGAUGUGCGAAAGCUAGGGGAGCGAACGGG
rnacentral:rRNA from 1 species